rnacentral:rRNA from 1 species
AUUGAACGCUGGCGGCAUGCUUUACACAUGCAAGUCGAACGGUAACAGGUUAAGCUGACGAGUGGCGAACGGGUGAGUAAUGCAUCGGAACGUGCCCGAUCGUGGGGGAUAACGCAGCGAAAGCUGCGCUAAUACCGCAUACGAUCUGAGGAUGAAAGCGGGGGACCGUAAGGCCUCGCGCGAUCGGAGCGGCCGAUGUCAGAUUAGGUAGUUGGUGGGGUAAAGGCGCACCAAGCCAACGAUCUGUAGCUGGUCUGAGAGGACGACCAGCCACACUGGGACUGAGACACGGCCCAGACUCCUACGGGAGGCAGCAGUGGGGAAUUAUGGACAAUGGGCGAAAGCCUGAUCCAGCAAUGCCGCGUGCAGGAAGAAGGCCUUCGGGUUGUAAACUGCUUUUGUACGGAGCGAAAAGGCCCUCUCUAAUACAGGGGGUUUAUGACGGUACCGUAAGAAUAAGCACCGGCUAACUACGUGCCAGCAGCCGCCGUAA